rnacentral:hammerhead_ribozyme from 1 species
AUUCAGCUGACGAGUCUCAAACAGGGCGAAACAAGCGUCCCGAAU